CGAACGCCGGCGGCGUGCUUACCACAUGCAAGUCGAACGGAAAGGCCCUGCUUUUGUGGGGUGCUCGAGUGGCGAACGGGUGAGUAACACGUGAGUAACCUGCCCUUGACUUUGGGAUAACUUCAGGAAACUGGGGCUAAUACCGGAUAGGAGCUCCUGCUGCAUGGUGGGGGUUGGAAAGUUUCGGCGGUUGGGGAUGGACUCGCGGCUUAUCAGCUUGUUGGUGGGGUAGUGGCUUACCAAGGCUUUGACGGGUAGCCGGCCUGAGAGGGUGACCGGCCACAUUGGGACUGAGAUACGGCCCAGACUCCUACGGGAGGCAGCAGUGGGGAAUAUUGCACAAUGGGCGGAAGCCUGAUGCAGCAACGCCGCGUGCGGGAUGACGGCCUUCGGGUUGUAAACCGCUUUCGCCUGUGACGAAGCGUGAGUGACGGUAAUGGGUAAAGAAGCACCGGCUAACUACGUG
rnacentral:rRNA from 1 species